rnacentral:lncRNA from 1 species
UUGUCGUGGCAGUUUUGCUUCCAAAUCCCACCAAAACGUUAUCCUCAACCUAUUGAUCGUUUCUAUCAAAUCUGAUUUCUUAAAAAAUUCCCUUAACUUUGUAGAUCUAUACCUUAAAAUCAUGGAUACCCACUAUCGAAAAUCUCUCUUACAUUGUUCCAAAUCUUAUCAACACCAACUAUAAUCGUAUUUUACCUGAAACCCCAUCGUUCCACUACUUUUGAUCUCUAAAAACCUUAAGAAAACUUUGUUAUUGGAAACCCACCUUAUUUCUUUCCUCUUAUCUUUUAAUUGACCAACCCCAAACACAAACAGAACCACUCAAAACAAAUAAACCAGAAACGCUCGCAACAACUCCCUACUAUAGUUUUCUUGAAUAUUUGUUUCUGAAAAUUGUGUUUGUUGGUUGUUGCUUAUUGUGUCUUUGCUGUGUAAAUUAUAAUUAGGUCUUGCUUUUGUGUAUGGUUGUCGUUGGAUUUUUUGGUGGAUUGUUGAUGCCUAAAAUUUACUAUUGCUGAUUGCUGUUGCUUUGUAUUGUUGACAAGAAUUGUGUUUGAUAGUUUAUGUAGUGUCAAACAAUUGUAGCUCCAUUUGUGUUGAGGCUCUCGGCUAUAUGUUUAAAGAUUGAAUUUGCUUCUCUUUGGGAUUGUAUUUUUUUCAAAUUACUCUUUUCUAAAUUGCUUCGAUGGCUAUUGUUGGGUUUAGAGAGAGAAACUAAGAAAAUGCAGAGAGAAUGGGGAUGAAAGAGAAGGAAACAGUGAAAGAAAAUAAAAAAUUCACUUUUAUACAUGGCCAGGUGCUUGACAGCUAAUGUGAAGUGUUUAGUUAGUAUACUGUUAGAGAUUAAUAGUG